rnacentral:rRNA from 1 species
GUGGGGAAUAUUGGACAAUGGGGGCAACCCUGAUCCAGCCAUGCCGCGUGAGUGAUGAAGGCCCUAGGGUUGUAAAGCUCUUUCACCGGUGAAGAUAAUGACGGUAACCGGAGAAGAAGCCCCGGCUAACUUCGUGCCAGCAGCCGCGGUAAUACGAAGGGGGCUAGCGUUGUUCGGAAUUACUGGGCGUAAAGCGCACGUAGGCGGACAUUUAAGUCAGGGGUGAAAUCCCGGGGCUCAACCCCGGAACUGCCUUUGAUACUGGGUGUCUGGAGUUCGAGAGAGGUCGGUGGAAUUGCGAGUGUAGAGGUGAAAUUCGUAGAUAUUCGCAGGAACACCAGUGGCGAAGGCGGCCGACUGGCUCGAUACUGACGCUGAGGUGCGAAAGCGUGGGGAGCAAACAGG